rnacentral:rRNA from 1 species
UAACACAUGCAAGUUGCGCGAGAAAGCUUCCUUCGGGAAGCAAGUAGAGCGGCGCACGGGUGAGUAACACGUGGGUAAUCUGCCCUUGAGUCUGGGAUAACCCGGGGAAACCCGGGCUAAUACCGGAUACGGCCUUGAGAUCUUCGGAUCUCGGGGAGAAAGAUGGCCUCUGCUUGAAUGCUAUCGCUCUAGGAUGAGCCCGCGGCCCAUUAGCUUGUUGGUGAGGUAACGGCUCACCAAGGCUCAGAUGGGUAGCUGAUCUGAGAGGACGAUCAGCCACACUGGGACUGAGACACGGACCAGACUCCUACGGGAGGCAGCAGUGGGGAAUAUUGGACAAUGGGGGCAAACCCUGAUCCAGCAAUGCCGCGUGUGUGAAGAAGGCCUGCGGGUUGUAAAGCACUUUCGGAUGGGAAGAAAAGCUCAAGGCUAAUAUCCUUGAGUCUUGACGUUACUAUCAGAAGAAGCACCGGCUAACUCUGUG